rnacentral:rRNA from 1 species
UACGUAGGGACCGAGCGUUGUCCGGAAUCAUUGGGCGUAAAGAGCGUGUAGGCGGCCACUUAAGUCCUGCGUGAAAUCUUGCGGCUCAACCGCAAGCGGUCGUGGGAAACUGGGUGGCUAGAGUGCGGGAGAGGAGAGUGGAAUUCCUGGUGUAGCGGUGGAAUGCGCAGAUAUCAGGAAGAACACCCCGUGGCGAAGGCGGCUCUCUGGAACGCAACUGACGCUGAGACGCGAAAGCGUGGGGAGCAAACAGGAUUAGAUCCGACCGAGUCAGACCCAAGUACCUACGUCUGCUGACCU